AGCCCGGUAGUGCAGUGGUCAUCGCGCCCCCCUCACAAGGGUGAGACUCGGGUUCGAAUCCAAACCCGGGUCG